AUCAGUUUAACCCAAGAAGGCAUGCUCCAUUGAGUAUCCAGGUGAGGCAGACCAGAAGUCAACCUGUUUUCCAGAACCCUCUGAGUGUUUCUCUCAGGCUGAGCUCCUUAGCUCCCAGGGGCAUAUACUGGCACUACAUCUUGCAGUUCCUCUCUUCAUGAAGCUGAGUAGCAAGAGCAAGUUCCUGUCAGCCCUGCGGUCAUGAGUGGAUUCAUCCCAGUGUGCUGGGUGGCUGGUGGUUGAGGAAUACAGGCUAUGGACUUGUUUCAUAAAGGGAUUACCAUGGAUUUGUCUGGAGGUAGAAGUGAAAUAAAUGUGUUUAACCACUGAAAUGGCCAAGUACUUGGGAAUGGAUGUUCCCAAAGAAGCAACUGAGCUAAG